rnacentral:rRNA from 1 species
UACCAGCACCCCGAGUGGUCGGGACGUUUAUUGGGCCUAAAGCAUCCGUAGCCGGUUCUACAAGUCUUCCGUUAAAUCCAACUGCUUAACAGGUGGGCUGCGGAAGAUACUAUAGAGCUAGGAGGCGGGAGAGGCAAGCGGUACUCGAUGGGUAGGGGUAAAAUCCGUUGAUCCAUUGAAGACCACCAGUGGCGAAGGCGGCUUGCUGGGAUACACCUGACGCUGAGACACGAAGGCGUGGGGAGCGAACGGG